GAAAUUUGCCCUACAGGAGUUUGUCUUGAUUAAAGGCUUCAGUCUGUCUUUGCAACACAAACAUAGGAGCCCCCAUGCUGCUCUCUGAAAUUUACAGCGUAUUUUCUUUUUACUCAAGCAUAUUGAAGCAGAACAGAAGAAAGGAUCAAAGGUGUAACUCUUGUGAUGACUGAUGUUGUUAUGAAGGAUUUUCACUUUGAGAGCCAGAUCAUCCUUCCUUUGAAGCUGUGUGAAUCUGAUGGCUGCCAGUGGUCCUCAAUAGAAGAUCAAGAUGUGCUUUGUCCUCUUUGGGCCAUGCAACCAAAGACAUCAUAA
rnacentral:lncRNA from 1 species